rnacentral:RNase_P_RNA from 14 species
UUUGAGGAAAGUCCGAACUCUCAAGAGAUGAUAAAUAACUUAAGAAUAUUAAGUGCACAUGUAUUUGUGUGAGGAAAGUGCCACAGAAACUAAACUUUUUUAUUAUAUUUUCUAAUAAAUCAAAGGUGCAAUUAUAAAAUAUCUUUGUGAAAAGUAUUUUCGGUAGACCCUUAUUGAGAGCAAAAGUAAAAAUUCGAAUUUCAUUUCUUUGAAUUUAGAUCUUGCUAGAAAAUUUCAGUAAUGAAAUUUCCAGAUAAAUAACCACAUAAACAGAAUUCGGC